AACUAGCAGACAGAAGAAAAAAAAAACUGCAAACAUUCAGAAAAUACAUUAAAAAGGUCACUGUAAAAGCAUCUUGAAGCAUUAAAGCCGCAGAGAUAGAAAUCCCAUAAUGACUUACAUUUCAGCACUUUGACAGCCACCUUCUGCAUCGAUGAGUCAUCAGUCUUCAGAAUGGCUUCACGCACUGAACCAAACUCACCUGCAAAGCGUUACCUUUUCCCAGCAUGUGGCCCAGAGUAAGAAGUCUCUCUGAAAUCAACACAUCCUGCAGCUUGUUCUUCAGCUCACUGCUGAUGCAGAGACUGUCCACUGAAGGAAGGAAGACACAGUCAAAGAAUCACAGCUCUGAGCAGAAGAAGUGCUGUAGGAAACCGUUCACUCACAGGUGGACUCGUGCAGAUCAGCCACGUUUCUGCUGAACG